rnacentral:lncRNA from 1 species
CCACCUGACUCAGCCUCCCAAAGUGCUGGGAUUAAAGGGAAUUUUCUGUUGGGUAUUGCUGCUCAUCUAGAAAACACCAGCUACCAAUAGAUGUCCUCUCUGUGCCGAAAUACUGCUUACCUCAGGGGAUAUUGGCUUGCUUGCUUCCUUUUCUGCCACCGCCCUCCCCCACACCCCCCACCAUGCAAAUCCCCCUGGGAAAGAAGAAAGUUGGACAGGAACAAGAUAGGUUAGACACUUACACCCUGGAGAGAGGUCCUUGAGCAACAGAAGUUAUUUGAGAUAUUUUAGAGAGUUUGUAGCCCAAAGAUCUGUCGGAGUUGGUGAUGAAUUAUCUCAGCAAAAAGUGAUAUUGGACCCUCAGUUUCCACACUGUGAUGGGAGCAAAGACAUCUUAGCAAA